UAAAUAGCCAGGUUGACUUUUGUCGGCCGCCGGCUUCUUAGAGGGACUUUUGGCUCAAGCCAAUGGAAGUACGAGGCAAUAACAGGUCUGUGAUGCCCUUAGAUGUUCUGGGCUGCACGCGCGC
rnacentral:rRNA from 1 species